AGAGCAGAAUUUUGCUAUUAACAAACUGCAUUUUGUUCCUUGUUGUAUAUCUUUUAAAAGACAUCUUCAUCAGGACAGGUAAAGAC
rfam:Cavia porcellus supercont2_6 genomic scaffold, whole genome shotgun sequence.